rnacentral:rRNA from 1 species
UACGUAGGGGGCAAGCGUUAUCCGGAUUUACUGGGUGUAAAGGGAGCGUAGACGGCCAGACAAGUCUGAAGUGAAAAUCCAGCGCUUAACGUUGGAAGUGCUUUGGAAACUGCCGGGCUGGAGUGCAGGAGGGGCAGGCGGAAUUCCUGGUGUAGCGGUGAAAUGCGUAGAUAUCAGGAGGAACACCGGUGGCGAAGGCGGCCUGCUGGACUGCGACUGACGUUGAGGCCCGAAAGCGUGGGGAGCAAACAGG